AAAAUUACAAUAUUUCCUAUUUGUUAAUUUACACAACAUCUAAAGCAAAUCCUUGCAACAGUUCAGAAAUGAGUUCUAUGGGGUCUCAGAGCUAACAGGCGGUGAUACUGAGAGCCACAAUCCGCCUCAGAUGGAAGGCUGGUGCGCGUUACUGUGCCAUACCUGUCAUCUGAUUGCGUCUGUCUGACCUCACCAAUUUAGUCAGAAGUGUCAAAAAGGCUAGCAACAUGGCUCGUGCCAUGCUGGGCGCCCAGGAAACGCUCAGUGAAUAUGAGAUACACAGAAUGGAAUAAUACAUUUGGGUAAAAGCCAGGUCCUGGUUUUGAUGUGUUGUUCCAGGACACCAUUGUCUCUAAACCUGACUGAUGCUUUAUCAUCAUUCUUUCUUUCGACUCUGUGAGCCACUGAGCUUGUAGGGAAUUCCUCCGUGAAUAUAUAGGAGGCACCAAGAACUGGACACUAUCUCAUCCCUGCCUGUGAUUGAGCUUUGCCCAGAGCUCAAAGACAGAGUUUCGGAAAGAUCUACGUAGCCAAAUGGAAGAUUUUGUAUUCUGGUAGUUUUCCCAAACAGGUGGUUUUCCUAAGGCUACAACUUACACACCUGUUUUCUACCGGAUUCUCAAUCCAUGCUCAGCAGGUGUAUCCCAAUUUCUGUAAGACUGGGUCUUUCCAAGGCAAAUCCAUGAACCCACGGAAACACCAAAGUCAGUCUGCCUUAAGGUGUACACAGUGUGUUUUGGGGAGGUAGCGCACGAACGGCUGAGGGCUGGCCCCAAAGGGCACUGGAUAUCAUCUGAUGGUCCAGUGUGUCGUGCAUCACAGUUUAUCCGGGGGGCAGGCACCACCGCCCUGCUGUCCGUGCAGCCCACCAGGAUCGUAGCUCAGCCUAAUAAAAAUUAGAGGGACAAGGUUUAAUGAAAGGAAGAUUCUUUAUUUGUAAAGAGGAAAAGGAGAAAGGAGAACACAGGUAGGUACCCUGAUAAAGGAGGCCCUUUGUUCUCAGCUGGUUUAAUAGGGGUGAGUGACCCCCCCCCCCAGAACUGGCCAUAACCGGAUUGGCUUUGGGAGCCUCUGCCUAGUCAUUUCUUCCGGUGGUCUACAUGCAGCUUCUGUCCGUUUGUUUACUUGUCCUUGACCUACCUUUAAGGCCUUAUCUUUGGGGUGGGUGGCUAGUUGGCAAAGGGGUGCCUUAUUCUUGGCUAGCUUAGAGUUAGUAAGGGGCGUGUGGAUGUCUCCUGUACUCUAUAAUGACGCCAGAGUGAAUAACCCAUGACUCCAGAAUGAACACUCAUGUAUAUAAGUGUGUGUGUGUCAGUGCAUAGGUGUGGUUUAAAGUUAGUCAGCCCCCCACCCCUGCUUUGCUCCCCCUGUAUUUUAUUGAAGUUGGAGGUAGCUUAUCAUGUGUGGACCUCACUGUCUCUCUGUGUCCCGCUGUCAGCUCUUUUUCUGGCUCUUGGUGCAAGUCCCAAGGCCAUUUGGUGCCUUUAUCUGUUUUUCUCUCUUUUUCUACCCCAGUCUUUGACUUGCUUCCCAGGGGAAUCUCUCUAGCAAUGUCCGUUUUUAACUCCUAGUCAGGAGUGGCUAAAAGACCUAAAGAGGCCCCAGGUUUAUUUCCUCAUUGACAGACCCUGCCCCCACGGUCCCUCCAGAGGCUGCAGUCAGAGUGGCUUGAGUUAAGAGCCCAGCCUGGGCAGUGCAGUGAGAACUUCCCUAAAAAGAUGCUCAGCACAGUCUUCCUUUGAUGAAUGUGAAAUAAAAAAGUAAUUGAUUUGUCUGAUGAAUAAUGAAUAAGUGUAUGAAUUUUAAAGAUCACAGUGUAAAUGCAGUACAUAUGUUGAUGAUGUUGAUGCUCAGGAUCUCUCAUAGGCAUUUCUGAGAUGCUGCUUUCCUGGUGCCUAUGAGGGCGAAAGAGGGCAAAAAUACAGUCCUGUGGGUACUGGGAAGAGAGGGCAGUGCAGAGAGGGAUGCGGGUGGGGUAGUAAGAAGGCUCGGAAGAGGAGAGGACAACAUCUGCCUGGAAAGCAGGAAGUGGGCCGGUGACUCCGAAGGUUGAUCAUGAUCUUUGUUAGCUCUGGAAUCAUCUUUAUCUCACUUGUUACUCAGUAUACUUUGUUAAACUCAAAGUGCAUGUUUCAUGACUGAAGUCCCUUGUUUACCCGGGCAGUUCUAAGAGGCCUGCUUAGUCAUCUGGUGGUUGCUGGGAGCUGAUGUGCUCCUGAGCUGUGGUAAGGAGGGGAGGUGGGGCUGUGGCUGCCCAAGCCCUGUCCCGAGGAGGGUGCCUUCCCCAACAGCAAGGCCACCAAAACCUCGGGCAGGAGGGCAACAGGUGGUGUUGCAAUGCAGGCUCACCCCCCACCCUGUUCGAUAAGGUUUUGGGAACAGAACUGUGUUCUUUCCAAAAGUCAGGUCAGGAGUCUCUCCACAAUGUGCUUUCCCAAUCGGGCUUCUGUAAUGUCAAAUAAAACAAAGAACCUUGCCCCAGAUGAAACCAUCAGCAAAUACCUCUUUACUCUCCUGGGGACUGUGCUGUCGCACAUCAUCUUCCUGAAUUGUCUCUUCCCUCCAAAACAAGAGUUUAAUAUCUCAAUGAGAAUGCGGUGAUGGAAUUGAAGCCAGUAGUUCUGGAGCAGAAGAGGAGGCUGGUGCUACUGGUGGGCCCUGGAGCAGCAGGCUCAAGAGCAUAGGCUCCUCGGAUAUGAAGUUGGCUGUGCCACCAGGUCUUGAUUCAGCUUCCCCAUGACAUGGUGAUUAAGUGAGCUUCUGAAGAAAAGAGCUUCAAGGGGUGUGGAGAAGUCUGGAAUAAGUAUUUGGAAAACAAUUUGGAACAGGGGAAUUACACAGCGUUGUGGCACCAUUGUCCUGGGACUGAACUGUGAGUACCUGAUGACAUUAAUGAUCUGCUGCAGCUCAUCUCCACUUAUCCCACAUGAUCUGUCACUCAAUAUCCAGCCUCGAAUUUUCUUCUAGGCCAUCCCUCCCAGUUUCAAACAGGCUGGCUGGAGACUGUUGGCAGCCCUAGACUGUGCAUGAUCAGCGAAAUCCACAGAAUCUAUCAUUCUUCUGUGUAUACUUACUUGAUUAUUUUCUCUCAGUUUUCAUUGUCUGAAUUUUAGUGUCUGUUAUAAGUUCUGUGAGGUAAUGUGACCCACCCCUGGAAUCCCUCCACUGAUUACAGGGUGUGCUCUGCAAGUGAUGAUAGCUGCUUUUGGACAAUGAGGAGGACAGGAUUUUCUUGGCUCUGCCGGAACCUCACGAAGAAGACUUCUGUGUUGUACAAACUUCCACGUGGCUGGCUUGAUUUCAAAAUUUUCACAUCCAUUUUAUUCACCACACUGGCCUUCUCCAACAAGCUCCCUGUUUGAUGCUCUGUGUGAUCAGCUGUAAAACAGGAUUUAAAAAUCUGAAGUAGAAUAGUAUAAUUUUUUUUUUUUCAUUUUGUAAGUCAGUGGUUCAUUUUACCUUUAAUCACAAGAGAACAUGGUAAACAAUGUAUUUUGGUAGAGUUAUGAAAAAUUUAAAUUAUUUUAUACACGGUAAAGUGUUACACAAUGAAAAUACAGUGCAUUUUUGGGUUGGAACCGAGUUAUGUGAUGGGAGUUGGGCCUUGUGACCUUGCAUCUUUAUCAGCCCCUCCGCUGCACAGUGAAGUCAGCGCUGGCUUAGAAGUUGUGGACUACUUCGAGGUUUCAUUACUCUAUGGAAAAUCAGCGCUCAUCACUGUUAAAACUGGAUUUAAAAAAGAAAUGAAGGGAAAAACAACCACAAAAUAGAGCUUUUGCAAGCAGGAAGGGGACCAAGGGUUCCAGAGAGCAGGGAGGGAGGAGUAGGAAGGAGCUGGGAUGAAAGACCAGCAGAAUUACGAUUGGCCGUGUGCACGCGUCUGCUUCCCACAGUAAAUGUGAUCAUUGUGUACCGCAGACUGAACUGAUGAAAGAGGGAAGUAGAUCUCUAGAUCCUGGGAGAGGAUUUCCACACUGAUUUUCUCAUCUGAAACCCGGGAUUUAGAGCUGGGGCUCUCUGCGGAACCUGAUCCUCAGAGGGGCUGAAGCAGGCGGGAGCUGCCCGCCAGCGGGCAGCCUGAACGUCUCGUCCGCUGCCUCUUCAGCGCUCUGCCUGUGACUAAGCACGGUGACCUUUGCUCUGUGCUCGAGUCAGGGACGUCCGUGCCACGCGGCACACGGGUUUAUCACCCUGGCCGAAGGUUUCAACACAUACAGAGUUUUCGAUCCAAAGUCCGUCUUGUGUGUUUUCAGAAAGGAACCCGCACAUUUCUGCCCGCCUUCUCUCACUGCAGGCCGUAGGGCGUCUUCUGGCUGGCGGUGAUGAUGGGCUCCAGGCUGGGGCUGCCUGGGGACACAGGGACUUCAGGUAUCUGACUGGAGAAACAGAAACCCUGUCCGUUACGAUGUGUCCUAAGCCGGAGUAAGCGGAAAUACGGCAAUCUGAAGAUUUUUAUGGAAGCACGCUUCUUGCCCAAACAAUCCCUUAUAACCUCGCAACUUGAGGAUCUACUUAGAGAAAGCCUGGGUUACAAACAAAGAGGGCAAGUGCUAGGAUUAGGGUUAGGGAUCUGGACUAUACAUCACGCAGUUUCUUACUUAAUACCCAGGAUCCAGGUGCACGACUGAGACAUAAAUCAGAAUCUCCAAUGGCUCAGUCACCCUGCCUCCCACCCUCCCUCUUCCCAUGCAGAUAGCAACACGUAAGGAGCAUGAGCUCGUCCACACCCUGUGGGUGUUGCUGAGCUGCCGGUUCCUUUAGCGCGUCACGUAAACAUGAGCGGAAUAACAGGCAGAUCUUACCGGGGUGCCCAAAAAGGGGAACAUGGUUCAGAUGUCUGAAGUCUACUAAGCAACACUACUUGGAAGAAAUUUCACUUAAAGCCAACAGAAUGACACUAAAACCACUGUAGCGAGCACAUGUGUAAGAAAUCCAUUUGAGUCCAGGCCCCUCACUAGUGAAACUGGGUCUUACAGUACAGAGUGAUUUACCACUGGCUUUGAGGCCCAGUCCAGGGAUGCAGCUAACCUUUGGGCUACCUAGUCUGGGAAGGUGCCAGUUGACCUAAGAAACACCUGAAAAUGAAACCUACCCACAGACAUAGAAAUGUAUGCCUUCGUAUAUUUUGAUAAGAAAUCUUUGAAAACGAAAGUGAUACAAAUGACAAACAAUAAGCCUCAGUUCUAUUUUGUUCUUGAGAAGUUUACCAUCUAGUGGGAGGGCAGACAAAAAGUAGCAACUUAAAAAAUAAUUUAAGUGCUAAGGGUGCGUUGGGGGGGUCUCAGAACUCUCAAUUCAGACAGAAGGUGACGGUCAGAGAAGGGACUCUGCACUCCUCUUGUUUUGAAUAUGACGAUUGCCUUCCAAAUAAAUCAGACUCUUCCCAGAAGCACUCUGAAGGGCAUUUCUCUUUUCAUAAAUGCUCUCCUGCUACCAUUUGCAUCCUUGGUGAAUGGAAGAAAGCUUAAGAAAGACCCAAUGCUUGAUGUCAUUGUUUUAUUAUUUUUUAAAAAUUGUAUAUCCUUAAGGGGUAUAGUGUGAUAAUGCAAUACUUGUGUUGAAUAUGUAAUGACCAAAUCAGGGCAGAGUAACAUUUCAAUUUUCUUAAGCACUUACCAUUUCUUUGUGUCGGGAAACUUCAAAGCCUGUUAAGUUGUAGUUCUUUAUAAAAUACACAAGAAAUUUCUGUAAUCUAGAGAGUGCCACUCUCUUUAAGUGGUCUCAAUGACUUUUCUGCUGAAUUCAUACUUCUCCCUAUGUGUUCUUUUAUAACAAGCCAGUUCUUCCUUGUCUUAAAAACCAUGCCUCUGUUUGUCUUCAUAUAAUUCUAUCAUAGAUCUCUUUCUAGCCACCCAAACUGUUUAAAUUCUUGAGACAUUAUUUCUUCUGGAUGAUAAAGAAUGGCUUAAUGGCUCUUAAUGGCUUUUGAUACAGAUGUUUUUCUUUUUGGUUUACUUCAUUUCACUUGACUUUUGUUGUUUUCCCCUUCUUGCCUUCUACACACUUCAAGGUCUCCUGAAUAGUCAAUGCUCAAGCAGUGUGAGCUUGACCAUUAUUUCCAGUACAAGAUCCCACUUUAUAACAAAAACCCAGAAAUAGAUUGAUUUCCUAUAAAGUUAUCUGGGUUGAGUGAGAUUAAAAUUGGAGAGUGGGCUCUCUUUGGGACUGCAUGGAGAGCUCAGGCCCUAAAAGUGAAUGUAAUCUUCUAAUGCCUUGACAGAGCUGCUUCCAUGCCAUUGCUUAGGAUGGUUAUAAUCCACCCUGAGGGUCUGACUCAUGGCCAAAUGCAGCUGGAUAUCGGAAACCUCUUUUCCUUGUAUUAUUCUCAUUGGCAGUGUUCAUGUGUCUAUUAUUCCUCUUGACAGCAGAUGCUGAUAGGAAUCAGGAAUUACAAAGAUGGACUCCCUGAUCCAAGGGGUGUCUUCCUCACUCUUCCAUAUACUACAACAUCCUACACCCCCUUAGAGGGGAGUGAUUUUGUUGAGUAAGGGUCAUUCUUAAGGAUUUCUAGCCCAAGUUUGAUAAAAUGCAGCAUCACUUCAAUUAUUCUGGAAACGAGUGUGGUGGUAGGCAGUAGUGACUGUUUUGGAAGAAUACUUUCAAAAGCUACUUCCAGUUCAGAAAUAAAUACUUUGCACCAACUGAUAACGAUCAGACAGAUUUUCUUGUUGGAUCUGUUAAUGUCAUGGAUUGUCCCAACAGAUUUUUGAAACAGCUUUAUUGAGAUAUAAUUCACUUACUAUAAAACUUAUCCAAUUAGGCAUACAAUUCAAUGGUGUUUAGUAUAACCACAGAGGUGUACAACUAUUACCAGAAUUUAAUUUUACAAUGUCUUCAUGACUUCCAAAAGAAAAACUAUAUUCAACAGCUCUAUAUCACACUAAAUCUCAACAUUCACUCCAGCCCUCACCAACCAUAAAUCUACUUUCUGUCUCUAUAGAUUUUCCUAUUCUGGACACUUCAGAUAAAUGGAAUUGUGUAAUAUGUGAUAUUUUGUGACUGAUUUUUUUCAUUUUGUAUGCUGUUUUUAAGGUUGCUCUAUGUUCUAGCAUGGUAUCAGUAGUUUAUUCUUUUUUAUUGCCAAAUAAUUGUCCAUUGUAUAGAGAUAUCCAUGCUUUGAUGGAUAUUGAGUUAUUCCCACUUUUCCAUUAUUAUUAAUAAUGCUGCUCUUAACAUUUGUGUAGAAGUGUUUGUGUAGACCUAAAUUUUCAUUUCUUGUGGGUGGAUGAUUAGGAGUGAAAUUGUGGAGUCAAAUGGUAAUUGUAUAUUUAACCUGUUAAGAAAUGACAAUAAGUAGACAAAAGUGAGAACUUUUCCCAAGAAAGUGUUGAGGAUGAUCUGGGAAAGGAGACCAUGCUUGGGAGUGAAGGGGGCAGUCUCCACCUAGGCUGAUUUAACUCUGAUGCUCCGGAUAUCAAGGAUGAUAAAAGAAUACUUCCUAGACAACCCUUAGUAAACAAAAACUUUAAUCACAGCAUCCUAGGAUAUUUGUCUGUUUCAGACAGGAGAGUAGGUAGAUUUCCUAUUCAUGUCAGUCAGUUUUAUAUGACAGGUCUUAGAAACACCUGGGGGAAAUCAUAUGGAUUCCAGAGCCUACAGUCAGAUCUGGAUCUUGUAAAGCCAUGCUGUGCAGUAUAAUGACCACUAGUCACAUGCAGUUUGCAAAAUUAAAUUAAUCAAAAUAAAAUUUAAAAUUUCACUCUUAGUCUCAUUAGGCAUAUUUUGAUCGCUCAAUAGCCAUAUGUAUGGUGCUUGUGGCAUCGCUGUUAUUGCAGCAAGUUCCAUCAGACAUUGUUUCAAACACUAAAGCGAUAGCUCUCAACUGGUGAUGAUUUUAUUACCCAGAGGCAUCUGGAGCUGUCUAGGGACAUUUUUCUUCCUACAACUCAAAGGAAGUAGGUGCUGCUGGUCAGGGAGCGAGGCCAAGGGUGUUUCUAACCAUCCUACAAUGCAUGGGACCUCUCCAAAGUUGGCCAUCCCAAAGUGCUAAUAUUCCCAAGGUUGAGUUCUAAAACAACAAUGCCUAAGCUUGAUCAGCUUUCAUCAAAAAGAACAACAACAAAAUAUAAACUGGCAAACUUUUAAAAAUCCUUAUGCCUUGUCCCACACUGAAGAGUCUGGUUAUGGAACAUGAAGAAGAUUAUAGGAUCUGUAUUGUUCAAAAGCUUUUCAAGAGAUGCUUUUAACUGGGUAGAUUCAAGAAUGGCUGCGUUAAAGUAGAUUGAUUUUCAACUCUCAGUGCAGAAGAAAAUCACCUGCUAAACAUUAGCAGUACUCCCAGAAGAAGUUAAUGACUCCAAGGCCAUUACUCCUUCUGUUUAAUUUCUCCAAUUACCUAUCUUUCAAUUAAUGGGGUCAUUAGGCACUUAAGAAUUGCAUUAAUUUCCCUGUUCUCUCUUUCAGUUCUCCCAUUCUGCAUAAACCUUCAAACAAUUUGCAAAUGAUUACAUCUUGUUAAAUAUUAUACACUUUCUGUUUACAAACAGAACAAACAACCUAGAAAAUGUUUGGCAGCUGUCUUUGUUCAUUGGUCUUUACUAGGAAAUAGCUGAGCAAACAGGAAUGCUAGCCGUUAAGGUAGCACAGCAAGGCAUAUUAUAGUCCAUUCAUUUGCUACCAAAUAACUUAAAACAGGUAAGUGGGGUUCAUUUUAAAUGGUUGAAGUUGCAUAAUAAUUAAUAAUAAUACAAUUCUGCUUAACUGCAAAAAUGUUUCAAUGAAUUAACUUUAGCAUUAAUUUUUUUUUUUUAGUGUUAAUAUUUUUCUUUCUGCUUUCUAUCGCAUUGUAAUAAGUUACACAAAGGGAAUAAACCUUGCUCUCAAGACUUAAAAGGUACUCUACUAGAGUAACAGAAAUGAGGAAUAAGUACAAGUAUCUGUAAGAAAAGAUCUUAAAUGUUCUUAUAGGAAAUACAAAUUUGAGAGGAAGAGAUACUUUCUCAUGGAGACCUGGGAAAUUUCCAUUAGAAGUCAAAGUCUCUUUAGCUUUCUCUUCACUUAUCAGUAAAUACUAGCUGUUCUCCACUUUAGGCCAGGUUUUGUUGUCAGCUUUCCCAUUGCUGGGUCAAAUAUCUGAUACCUGCAACUUACAGGACGUGCUUAUUUAGCUCAUGGUUUCAGAGGUUUAAGUCCAUGGCUGCUGGCUCCAAGAAAGAUAGUAUGGUGGAAAGGUAUGGUGGAGGAAAGCUGUUUAGUUCACAGUGGUCGGGAAACAAAGUGGGGGAACAGUGCCAGAAAGGAAGGGGCCCAGGACCAAUUAACAGACCCUAAACUCAAGCCUCUGUGGGCCGCCCAGGCACACACAGAAGUGUGCUUUCCUAAUCCUCUUGCUAGCUCCCAGGCCAAUCCAGUUGACAAUUAAACUUCCCCAUUACACAAGUUUACCACACCAGGGGCUGAGGCUAACUAGACACUCCCUGCCCUCCUAGAAGGAGCUUUCUUGCAGCUGGCCAGUCAGUUAACAGCUAUUUAUUGCAUAUCUACUAUGUUAUCUAUGUAUCUACUAUGUGUUAAGAUGUGAAAGGACACUGUAUAAUUAAUUCCUGGCUGUGUGGGUUUUUGUUUUAUUUUUUGGUACCGGGGAUCAAACUCAGGUCCUUGUGCUUGCACCGCAGGCGAUGAAACCACUGAGUUAAAUCCCGGCCCCUGGCUGUGUUUUUAAUCACAUUGAUUCUUCUAAACACAGGCAUUUCAUUUGCAAAGACACCAUCAGAGGGCACUCAGUCACUAUUAGCCGCAAAUUAUUGUGCUAUAGAACUCAGAGAAGGUAUUGAAGGACAUGCUGCAAUUGUCUAGGGGGCAGUAGUCUUAACUCUGGUCUCCUGCAGAAAUCAGUAAAGGGGUGUAAUUGAGAAUUUACUGACAUACUUCUUAGUUUAUUAAUAUGUGUGAGAAAAAUUUCUGCUCAAACUCACAUGGGUUGGCCCUUAUCUAUAAAACUUACAGCUAUCUGAAUUGUGAAAUUAUUCAGGAAUAUGAUCACUAUGUAGUGCAUUUUGUUGCAUGAAGUUCAUAUUAAUGGGUGGCUUUAAUUAAUGCUCAAAUUAAGUUAUAAAAUAUUUAAACAUACUAAAGUGCAGAAAAUAGGUGCCUACAGAUAAUUAUAUAUAACAGCUGCUCUACAUGCCUAAAAUUGUUUGCUUUUUUGUCUUCAUCUCUCUUUGUCAUUUUCAAAUGAAACAGAGCAUUAAAGAUAUACCUAAACUUA